CAAGAAGAAAAGGCAAACAUUCCUCUGGGGAUCAGAUUGAGCUACCAGGUAUGUAUAUGGGAACUGUUAGAUUAUGGUGUGAACCAGUAAUUGAGCAUCCAGUGAAGAGGUGUGGUCAGCUCUGGGAGUACAGAUGGAAGCAAUUCACCUGUGUAACCAGAAGGGGUGGACCCUGACUCCACUGCUCCCUAACUGCAUUUAAGGGCUUGGCAACCACAAGGGGUGUUUCUCUAUUUGGAGACUGCCUCCUUUGGAGUGUUUGGUGAACUCUGAUCUUUGGGAAGAGGUGGGAUUCUGCAGCUGUAGAAUGUGGAGGGCAAAAGGAGGGAAAUAGUGAUCCUGUCUGGAAACAGAGGAGGAACAUGUGUAUUCUAAGAUGCAAAACCUAAUGGAGCAGAUGCUGGGGUGAAUAUUUUGUGUAUGAGAUGGAGGAGAAACUGCUGACAAUAAAAAAAAAAUCUGUAACAGAGCUAAAGGUUGCAGGAAGCUGUAAAUCUCUGGAACAAGAUUAUGAGUAGCAUUAGUGACACUGGAUGAGAAGGUGCUGUAAGUCUUUCAUUAAGUGAAACAAAAAAGGAGAAGGACAUGUACUGGGAUCAAAAUCUUAUUUUGGAUGGCCUUGAUUGUAUUGAAUUAAUAUUUUUACUGAUUUGUACUGAUGAUUUUAUACCUGAAAUGGAUGCAAAACAUUACUGAUUAGACAAUUAAAAC
ensembl:lncRNA